rnacentral:rRNA from 1 species
CUUCCUGUUAACUCUUAAUAAACUUACACAUGCAAGCAUCUACACCCCAGUGAGAAUGCCCUCUAGGUUAUUAAAACUAAGAGGAGCUGGCAUCAAGCACACACCCUGUAGCUCACGACGCCUGGCUUAACCACACCCCCACGGGAAACAGCAGUGACAAAAAUUAAGCCAUAAACGAAAGUUUGACUAAGUUAUAUUAAUUAGGGUUGGUAAAUCUCGGUGCCAGCCACCGCGGUCAUACGAUUAACCCAAGCUAACAGGAGUACGGCGUAAAACGUGUUAAAGCACCAUACCAAAUAGGGUUAAAUUCUAACUAAGCUGUAAAAAGCCAUGAUUAAAAUAAAAAUAAAUGACGAAAGUGACCCUACAAUAGCCGACGCACUAUAGCUAAGAACCAAACUGGGAUUAGAUACCCCACUAUGCUUAGCCCUAAACACAGAUAUUACAUAAACAAAAUUAUUCGCCAGAGUACUACUAGCAACAGCUUAAAACUCAAAGGACUUGGCGGUGCUUUAUAUCCUUCUAGAGGAGCCCUGUUCUAUAAUCGAUAAACCCGAUAAAACUCACCAAUUCUUG